UGCAGAAUCCCGUGAACCAUCGAGUCUUUGAACGCAAGUUGCGCCCGAAUCCAUCUGGUCGAGGGCACGUCUGCCUGGGUGUCACGUACACGCGCCUCCCGCAAACCUUCCCCCUCGGGGACGAAGGGUCUUGCGGGAGCAGAUGUUGGUAUCCCGUGCCCGUUCCGCGCGGCUUGCCUAAAAACGGAGAGCCGGUGACGAAACGUCGCGCCUAGUGGUGGUUGCAUCGGCCUAGCGGCUGACCCGUUCGCGGCGUGGACGUUUGUGUCCCGGAGAUCUCGGACGACACCUCGGACGCCCUUCAAUGGGCGUGCUACUGUCGCGACCCCAGGUCAGGCGGGACUACCCGCUGAAUUUAAGCAUAUCAAUAAGCGGAGGAAGAGAAACUUACAAGGAUUCCCCUAGUAACGGCGAGCGAACCGGGAAGAGCCCAGCUUGUAAAUCAGGCAGCCCCGCUGUUUGA
rnacentral:rRNA from 1 species